rnacentral:ncRNA from 1 species
AUUUUUGAGAGUUUGAUCCUGGCUCAGGAUUAACGCUGGCGGCGUGCCUUAGGCAUGCAAGUCGAUCGAUUGGUCGCUGGACUUUGGUCGUUAGUCAUUGGUAAAUUAUCAAGUUAAAGACUAAUUGCUAAAGACCAGUGGCCAAUAGAGGCGGACGGGUGAGUAAUAGUAGGGAAUCUACCCCAAAGUGAAGGAUAGCUCGCCGAAAGGCGGGGUAAUCCUGCAUAGUCCCCCGAUCUAAUCGGGGGUAAAGGGCGUAACUGCUCGCUUUGGGAGGAGCCCUACUCCUAUCAGCUUGUUGGUAGGGUAAUGGCCUACCAAGGCUAUGACGGGUAGGGGGC